rnacentral:rRNA from 1 species
GACGAACGCUGGCGGCGUGCUUAACACAUGCAAGUCGAACGGAAAGGCCCCUUUGGGGGUACUCGAGUGGCGAACGGGUGAGUAACACGUGAGUAACCUGCCCUUGACUUCGGGAUAACUUCAGGAAACUGGGGCUAAUACCUGAUAGGAAUCCUUGCUGCAUGGUGGGGGUUGGAAAGCUUCGGCGGUUUUGGAUGGACUCGCGGCUUAUCAGCUUGUUUGUGGGGUGGUGGCUUACCAAGGCUUUGACGGGUAGCCGGCCUGGGAGGGCGACCGGCCACCUUGGGACCGAGAUACGGCCCAGACGCCUACGGGAGGGAGGAGUGGGGAAUAUUGCAAAAUGGGCGGAAGCCUGAAGCAGCAACGCCGCGUGCGGGAUGACGGGCUUCGGGUUGUAAAACGCUUUCAGCAGGGGCGAAGCUUGUGGUGACGGUACCGGCAGAAGAAGCACCGGCUAACUACGUG